GGCCUGGAAGGAGAGUGAGGGGAGAAGCCGUGCGGGCCGCUGGGGCACCGCGAGGAACGGGACAGGGCGCCGAGGAGUGACAGAGGGACGGGGAGCAGAGGGAUACCGCGGACGCUGCCCAGGCUGAACCUGCCCCGGGCGCCCGAGCCGCGUUGGCACCGAGUGUGCCCCCAGCAGGAGGCGCGGAAGAGCAGACCCCGCACGGCCCGCCCGCCGCCCCUCGUCCACCCGGACACCCUCUCAGGCCGCCCCACCGUGCCCCCGAGCCCGAGGCCUGGCGACGUCAGAGGCCUGUGACGCGCGCGCUCACGGUGGCGCGGGCGGAGGCGGCGGGGCGCGGGCUCCCUCGGGGAGGUCCCUGUCCAGGCCGCCCGCAGCCGCUGCGUCCUUGGCCCGCCUCCAGGGGAACCUGGGUUUUCCGAAUUCGGGAAGGCUGGCUGUCCUCCGGCUACUGAUAAGGACGGGCUCGAAGGGACACGGGGCGGAGAGAUUAGGUCACUCGCCCCAGGGCACACAGCUAGUUGACCUCUGUGCCAGAAUUCCAACGCAUGUUAUCUUCCUGGCCGCCCAUUAAGGUCACCUAGCUGGAAAAUGGACGAGGCAGAAAGCGAACCCAGAGCUCCUCUCUGUCCGCAGAACCCGCGGUCUUAGCCAUAGGCGAUGCCACAUCCAAACCACUUCCGACAGCCCAGCAGGCUUUGGCCCCAGGUCCCAAGAGGCGCAGCCCCUGCAGGUGUCCCCAGCCCCUGGACAGCAGAUUCAGUCCCUCCUGAGGACACUGGUCUCGUUCCAUGAAAAGACCCAGGCGUCUGCAAAUCUGAGUGGCCUUGUCUCCCCCUUCUGGUGGGUCCUUGGGUGAUGUAAAAUGGGGAUCCAUCAUCCAUUUGGAACAGUGAACUUUCAUCUCUUUCCUAAAAUAAGAGAAGGCUGGAGGGGAUUGGCUGGGAAGCAGCAGAUGAAUUUUCAUAAUAGCUACCGCCUAUUGCUUGCUUUUUUGCUUGGAGCCCUUUAUAUGUCUUGACUGACGGGUCCUCCAGGCAGCCUGAGAGGCGUGGAUCAAUGUUCCCACUUCGGGGAUGAGGUCGGGAAGCUGGUAAGUGGCCAAGCUGGCCACCCACGUUAUUACAUCUCCCAGAACAUACAAGCUGAGACCACUGAUCAGAAAAGGUAGAAUACAGCCCCUGGUCUACCCUGAGUGCUUAAAAUACUGUACCGCAUUGAAUUAGGGGCUUGACUGGCUAUCUAAGCCCACUCUGGGACUCAAAUAUCCAAAAAAAGAAAAACAAAACCUAAAGGUGCACCGGGAAUGAGCAGGAUUUAGCUUGGAAGGGUAUCUGUCCAGAGAGGCCCACGCACUUUCUAUGUCUGGGCUCUAAGGAAAUAAAGGUGGUUCUAGGAAAAUCUGAAAAAUAUGAGAGGAAAAAAAUCUUUUCUGUGGUUUUUACUUUCACCAUGCCUCAUUUUACUAUUUGUGUUUUAUUUUAAAAUUAAUGUGGCUCUCUCCACCCUUUCAACUGGCACAUAAAUAGCAAAAGCAGAAGGGAAGCCAGCUACAGACUUCAAAUGUGCUGGGUUCUCAGGAAGG
rnacentral:lncRNA from 1 species